CAGGCUACCAAACACACACACGCACACACACGCCGAGACCCUUAAACAAAACCUCACAGACUCACUCCUACUUUGCACUUGAACAUAACCAUCCAAGCAACACCCCUGCCCCCUCCCUGACACUAACAGGAAUGCUGGGACCAGCUGGUUGAGAAAAUAAAAAACAUAGAACACCAAAACAGGAAAUGCAUCACUGGGGCCUAUCAGAGGGCUUUAUCAGGCUGGUGGCACCUCUUCAGAGAACAUGGGUGGUGCCAUGGACGACUGGUUGAUCAAAGUGGAAGCUGUGUUGAGAGCUGUAUAUUCUCAUUUGAUACAACUCUCAACUUACCUGGGCAUUGACGGUUUGCAAGUUAUGGAACCAAAAAGAAUAAAUAGAAUGCACUGAAUUUUCAUCAAAGUAAAAGUACAACUUAACAUUUCUUCAAUUCUGAGAACAAUGACUUGUGUUGUCAUCAGAAGCCUGGCCAUUUUCUGUAAAAUUAAGAAACAACCAUACGUAACAUACUUCUAACUCUUUCAACAAAGCACUUGUCUAAACAUACGCUGUAUGAUCAGCUACACCUCACAAUAACAGCAAUACAACAUUGCUAUAAAAAUGUUGUAAAUUUGAAACAUAACUUAAGACAUCUGACUUUGCAAUUUGAUGCCUUGUAAUUGUUUCUGUCUCUUUAAGAAGUUCCCACUCGCUUUCAGAACAUCAUCACAAUGAUGCUUCUCGAUUGUGCCAUUUACUGUUAUGUGGAGCACUGCAGUUUGCAUGAUUAGCUCAGUUGCACCAGGUGUUUGCCAAUUGCUGCUGCUGCUGCUAGUCUGGUGGAGCUGUGUGGGGAAGGGCUGCUCAGUGGGGCGGGAGCUCUGCUUGAGGACGGAAGGUCCAGGGAGGAGCACAGUGGGAUUGGCUAAUGCAACUGAGUAGGACUUUAUGCCAAUACAAUUUAAAGAACUAGGAGCAUAGAGAUGUACAUUUUUCCAAAGCAGUUUUGAAUUCUUGUAAAGCUCUAGCUUGCUAAUAACAAUUUUGAAGUAUUUUUUGUCAUUAGAUUUUUAAGUAUUUUCUUCUCAUGUGUGGUUGUAUUAAAAGUCGACUGUUCAUAAUAAAACUUUUUUUUUUAAAGUCUU